rnacentral:rRNA from 1 species
UACAGAGGUCUCAAGCGUUGUUCGGAUUCAUUGGGCGUAAAGGGUGCGUAGGUGGCUUGGUAAGUUGAAGGUGAAAUCUCGGGGCUUAACUCCGAAACUGCAUUCGAUACUGCGGUGCUUGAGGACUGGAGAGGAGACUGGAAUUCAUGGUGUAGCAGUGAAAUGCGUAGAGAUCAUGAGGAAGACCAGUGGCGAAGGCGGGUCUCUGGACAGUUCCUGACACUGAGGCACGAAGGCCAGGGGGAGCAAACGGGG